UGGAUGCUGGGACAGGUGCUAGGCUUGGCCUCGGGUGGCCUCUGUCAUGCCAGGGCAGCCCCAGCCCUCUUCUCUCCCAUGGAGAUGAACGCAAGUAAAUUGUGACCACAACCUAAGAAAGAGAAACAGGCACGUUGGUCUGGGAGGCCAGCAGACGAUGGUGUACACUCGGCUAAGGUCGUCUUGCUUCCAGAUUCGUCGAAGUUGGUUUGACUCGGAGGAUAAUAAAAAUGAGCCAUCAGUCAUUCAUUGGAAAACACAUCUCGGGCUGAUUAAAAUAUGUGAAUUUUUGCUUUAAGAAACUGCCUUGGAAUGUGAAUCAGAAUGCUGGCAAUUGUUACUUCCUAAUCACAUAGCCUAAUGUCAAUAUUCCAGAAUCUGUUGUUUUUUAAAAUUAUCUCAUAGAAUAGCUUUUAUAUCCAAAUAAAAAUGUGACAGUAGCAAAUCACAAGGGCAAUUUCUUCAAAGGUUUAACCAACUCCUAAACAUCUGCUAGCUGAGUUUAACAGUAAUUGGCAGCAUCUCACGGCAAAUUCUCUUGGCGACUCAGAGGGAAUGUAUGUUGGCAUUCCAAGACUGUUUGAAAGAAAGAGACCUAGUGCUUUAGAUCUCUGACAGCCUGCAUGAUGAAAGCGGUUUUUGUCACAGGGCCAGAAGUUUGUCUUUAUUUCCCCAGUGAAAAAUCAAAUAAACUGAUUCUGGAAU